UGGGGAAUUUUUGACAAUGGGGGAAACCCUGAUCCAGCCAUCCCGCGUGUGCGAUGAAGGCCUUCGGGUUGUAAAGCACUUUUUGCAGGAAAGAAACGUCAUGGGUUAAUACCCCGUGAAACUGACGGUACCUGCAGAAUAAGCACCGGCUAACUACGUGCCAGCAGCCGCGGUAAUACGUAGGGUGCAAGCGUUAAUCGGAAUUACUGGGCGUAAAGCGUGCGCAGGCGGUUCGGAAAGAAAGAUGUGAAAUCCCAGAGCUCAACUUUGGAACUGCAUUUUUAACUACCGGGCUAGAGUGUGUCAGAGGGAGGUGGAAUUCCGCGUGUAGCAGUGAAUUGCGUAGAUAUGCGGAGGAACACCGAUGGCGAAGGCAGCCUCCUGGGAUAACACUGACGCUCAUGCACGAAAGCGUGGGGAGCAAACAGG
rnacentral:rRNA from 1 species